rnacentral:rRNA from 1 species
UACGUAGGGUGCGAGCGUUAAUCGGAAUUACUGGGCGUAAAGCGUGCGCAGGCGGUUUUGCAAGCCGGAUGUGAAAUCCCCGGGCUUAACCUGGGAAUGGCAUUUGGGACUGCAAGGCUGGAGUGCGGCAGAGGAGACUGGAAUUCCUGGUGUAGCAGUGAAAUGCGUAGAUAUCAGGAGGAACACCGAUGGCGGAAGGCAGGUCGUCGUGGGCUGGACACUGACGCUCAUGCACGAAAGCGUAGGGGAGCGAAACAAGGAUUGAGAAACCCUUACGUAG